rnacentral:rRNA from 1 species
AUUGAACGCUGGCGGCAUGCCUUACACAUGCAAGUCGAACGGCAGCGGACCUUCGGGUGCCGGCGAGUGGCGAACGGGUGAGUAAUAUAUCGGAACGUACCUUUCAGUGGGGGAUAACGUAGCGAAAGUUACGCUAAUACCGCAUAUUCUGUGAGCAGGAAAGCAGGGGAUCGCAAGACCUUGCGCUGAUUGAGCGGCCGAUAUCAGAUUAGCUAGUUGGUGAGGUAAAGGCUCACCAAGGCGACGAUCUGUAGCGGGUCUGAGAGGAUGAUCGCCACACUGGAACUGAGACACGGUCCAGACUCCUACGGGAGGCAGCAGUGGGGAAUUUUGGACAAUGGGCGCAAGCCUGAUCCAGCCAUGCCGCGUGAGUGAAGAAGGCCUCGGUGUAAG